AGCAGUCAAAAUGCAAAAGAUUCAGUUUCCUAAAAGAAAGAAAAGCAGCAGAUUUCAUCAUCAUCGUUUCACUGUGGGAGUGCAGAUUGAAAUUCUCUCCAACAGCAGCGUGCAGCCAUCACCUUUAAACUCGUCUGUUACUGAAAGUAACACUGUCAACGCUGUAAAGGUGGUUGUGAGAGUGGGGCGCCUUUGAUGAAGGUGUUAUGCAAACCUCUGACCAACUUUAUUUGAAGAGAUCUGGUGCAUUAGAUCAUCUGUGGACCCUCUGACGACAACUUAAAUGUUAUUCUACCACAACAGAGAAUAAAUGAGAACAAGAAGAAGAGCGUGCCAAUGUCGGAGCUGCCAGAGGAAGCUCAGAGACUGAAGAGGGCAGCCUGGAGAGCAGCUUCCAGACGAUAUUAUGCUCGAAAGAUAGCUCGCCAGCAGGCAAACCCAUCACAAUCCAGCCCCUUCCCCCACAUCGCAAACUCUCAGAAUUCACAGCCCAGCUCUUUUGUGGAUAAGAGGAGGAGGACACUGAUAUCGGAGCUACCUGAAGAGUCUCAGACGCUGCAGAGAGAAGCUUGGAGAGCCGCAUCCAGGAGGUACUACGCUAGAAAAAUCGCUCGGCACCAGACGGAGACGACACAGUACAGAAACCUGCUGGAGAACAUAAACCCAUCUGGAGACACGCAGGGACCCAACAGGGAAGGACCUCACAUGAACACUGGAGGAAUAAUGUGCAGCUGAUAGACAGAAGUUUUACAUUUUAAAUGUUUCUGUUCAGCAGAUUGGAGGGUCCUUUUUACUGCGGUAUGAAGAAUAAUGAAAUCUGACUGUUUGUGUUUUGGUGGCUUUGAAUUAAUAAUGAUGGGAAUUGUCUCAGGUCUGAAUAACAUGAACCUGGUGUUUCAAAUGAGUCAUCUGUGCAUUUCCUCAGUUCAUGACCUCUUGAUGAUGUGUUAGGCAGCAGGUUUAAUCAGAAUCCUAGUACUAGUACCAGCAAAAUUGAACCUUUCACAUAUCACACAUUUCAAAAAUAUAUCAAACUAAAAAAAGAAAUAUUGGGAGAAAUUGUCUUGAUGUUCUAUAAAAUUAAAAGUUGAUCUCGCUCCUGUCAUCCUUCUGUCUCCAGGAAUUUUUGGUGGAGUCAUCCAGUGUCAGACUGUUUUUGAAGUUAACCUUCAUGAGAUCAACUCUACAUUCUGAUUUGUCUCCCUUCAUGUCAGCAAUAUUUGCAUGUACAAAACUUUUACUGGAAAAGAGCCUGAAUAAAUGUAUCAUGAGGCAAUAUGCAUAAAUCCAUGGCACUAACUAACAUGGCAGUACAGCGCCCCUGGAGAGUAACAUCUGUAACUACAGCGUGAGUGCAUCCAUAGUGGCUACAUUUUUAGCUCCACAUCUUUGAUUUCAGUGUCGGGUAAAGAAUUAUUAUUUCAGACAAUGCUGGUAAACUUUAAAGUGUAUUUUUGGACUUUGUCAAAUAUUAAAAACUGUCUUUCCCCUUCCCGUUGAAAUGAACUCCCAUCAGUUUCUGGGUUACACUUCAGUAUUUGAAGCCAGCAAGCAGGGUGAACACAGAAAUGUUAAAAUAUCUCAUUUUGCAGUAAAUGUGUACAAUAAAACAAAG
ensembl:lncRNA